UUUUCGUCCAACAGCUUUCGUCGAGGAAAGGCAAAGAAAAAUGUUUGAUUGUUCGCGGAAAAUUUACAUAUUUGAGCGCCUUAUAUCAAGGUAGGUAAAGCUUUGCUGAUUUUAAUUUACCUUAUAUUCUGUUUAUAUAUUCUGUGAAGGCUACGCUAUCAAAAUACUCACUUUUUUAUAUAUGCUCAAAUUGAAACGGAG